UUGAACGCUGGCGGCAGGCCUAACACAUGCAAGUCGAGCGGUAGCACAGAGAGCUUGCUCUCGGGUGACGAGCGGCGGACGGGUGAGUAAUGUCUGGGAAACUGCCUGAUGGAGGGGGAUAACUACUGGAAACGGUAGCUAAUACCGCAUAAUGUCGCAAGACCAAAGUGGGGGACCUUCGGGCCUCAUGCCAUCAGAUGUGCCCAGAUGGGAUUAGCUAGUAGGUGGGGUAACGGCUCACCUAGGCGACGAUCCCUAGCUGGUCUGAGAGGAUGACCAGCCACACUGGAACUGAGACACGGUCCAGACUCCUACGGGAGGCAGCAGUGGGGAAUAUUGCACAAUGGGCGCAAGCCUGAUGCAGCCAUGCCGCGUGUGUGAAGAAGGCCUUCGGGUUGUAAAGCACUUUCAGCGGGGAGGAAGGCGUUAAGGUUAAUAACCUUGGCGAUUGACGUUACCCGCAGAAGAAGCACCGGCUAACUCCGUGCCAGCAGCCGCGGUAAUACGGAGGGUGCAAGCGUUAAUCGGAAUUACUGGGCGUAAAGCGCACGCAGGCGGUCUGUCAAGUCGGAUGUGAAAUCCCCGGGCUCAACCUGGGAACUGCAUUCGAAACUGGCAGGCUAGAGUCUUGUAGAGGGGGGUAGAAUUCCAGGUGUAGCGGUGAAAUGCGUAGAGAUCUGGAGGAAUACCGGUGGCGAAGGCGGCCCCCUGGACAAAGACUGACGCUCAGGUGCGAAAGCGUGGGGAGCAAACAGGAUUAGAUACCCUGGUAGUCCACGCCGUAAACGAUGUCGAUUUGGAGGUUGUGCCCUUGAGGCGUGGCUUCCGGAGCUAACGCGUUAAAUCGACCGCCUGGGGAGUACGGCCGCAAGGUUAAAACUCAAAUGAAUUGACGGGGGCCCGCACAAGCGGUGGAGCAUGUGGUUUAAUUCGAUGCAACGCGAAGAACCUUACCUGGUCUUGGCAUCCACAGAACUUAGCAGAGAUGCUUUGGUGCCUUCGGGAACUGUGAGACAGGUGCUGCAUGGCUGUCGUCAGCUCGUGUUGUGAAAUGUUGGGUUAAGUCCCGCAACGAGCGCAACCCUUAUCCUUUGUUGCCAGCGGUUAGGCCGGGAACUCAAAGGAGACUGCCAGUGAUAAACUGGAGGAAGGUGGGGAUGACGUCAAGUCAUCAUGGCCCUUACGACCAGGGCUACACACGUGCUACAAUGGCAUAUACAAAGAGAAGCGACCUCGCGAGAGCAAGCGGACCUCAUAAAGUAUGUCGUAGUCCGGAUUGGAGUCUGCAACUCGACUCCAUGAAGUCGGAAUCGCUAGUAAUCGUAGAUCAGAAUGCUACGGUGAAUACGUUCCCGGGCCUUGUACACACCGCCCGUCACACCAUGGGAGUGGGUUGCAAAAGAAGUAGGUAGCUUAACCUUCGGGAGGGCGCUUACCACUUUGUGAUUCAUGACUGGGGUG
rnacentral:rRNA from 1 species